rnacentral:lncRNA from 7 species
GUGUAGCCACUUCUUCUCUCCCUAAGGUUAUGCGGAUCCACGGCGUGCAGGAACUCCGGUGUGUAAUUGCGGCUUCUAGGUGACGAAUCGCUCCGGGCGUGUGUGUGAGAGUCAUUAAGGGGGUGCAAUGACCAGCACCAGUCGUUCACCGAGGUCCGCCCGAUGCAGUGCCCGUGAAGCGACGUCGGUGGCGAUGCACACAUUCUAGCCAAUUGGCGGUGGGAGCUAAGCCUUGUGACCGAGUUGAGCCCGCGAGGUAUACGAGGGGGAAGGAGAGGGUGCAACUUAUGUCGAAGGAGAAGGUCGGCCAGGGUCCCUUAACGGCCACAGAGAUUCACGGCACGCCCCCGCCACGUACGGUGAGGUCGUUGGGAGGGAGAGGACUGACAAUACAGGCCCACUGGAUAGAGG